GACGAACGCUGGCGGCGUGCUUAACACAUGCAAGUCGAACGGAGAGGCUCUGCACUUGUGGGGUGUUCGUGUGCCGAACAGGUGUGUAUCACGCGUGUAACCUGCCCUUGUCAUUGGGGUAAAUUCUGGAAACUGGGGCGAUUAUCGGGUAUGAGCUCCUGAUGCACAGGGUUGGAUGGUAAGAUUCGGCGGUUUAGGAUGGACUCGCGGCUUAUCAGCGUGUUGGUGGGGUGGUGGCUUACCAAGGCUUGGACGGGUAGCCGGCCUGAGAGGGUGACCGGCCACAAUGGGACUGAGAUACGGGCCAGACUCCUACGGGAGGCAGCAGUGGAGAAUAUUGCGCAAUGGGCCGAAGCCGGAUGCAGCAACGCCGCGUGCGAGAUGACGGCCUUCGGGGUGUAACCCGCUUUCGCCUGUAACGAAGAGUGAGUGACGGUAAUUGGUAAGGAAGCAACGGCUAACUACGUG
rnacentral:rRNA from 1 species